rnacentral:lncRNA from 1 species
CUAGGAUAUUAUUAUGUCACGAACCAUAUUAGGUUUGUUGUGUAACCACAAGACCAAUUAUGAAAACUGACAUAAUAUUGUUCUGGCACAUCGAGAUGCUUACAGUAAUUUGAUGAGUAUAAUACUUUGUUGUGCAACCACAAAAGUAUUUAUAUUCUAUUUUGACUGUAUUAAAAUGAAGGGUCCUACUUAACUAAAAUAUUAUGGUUUGUUGUGUAAACACAAGGCUAUUAAUGUUUUAGAGGCCAGGGUUUUUAUUGAGAAUUGCAUGAGAUG